UUCUGACAUAAGCUGUGCAGAAGUCUCACUUGGCAUCUUCUUUGCAGGCAAAAUCAGUACCUUCAAGAAUGGUUUAAAUCAGAUUAUGUACUUUUGCAGACAGGUGCAAGAAGAGGAGAGGAGAGGGAGUUAAUAAGCCCUGGAUUGCAACUUGGCCACCAGGAGGAGCAAAUGGAAGGUUGAAUCCCUGGCACAAGAACUGAAGAGGAUCUUGUGAAACAACAGUGGGAGAAAGCGUGUUUGAGGACCAUUUUUGAUGAAAUACCGGGGGAGUGUUCACUAGGAGCUGAGGGCUGAGCUGCUGGGAACUGAUGGGAAGCAAAGCAUGUCUGCGCUUCUGGCAAGCUGCAUGCUGGCUGGAAACAAUAAACUGUCCUACAGGCAAUUCUCGUGACUCAUUGGAUGACAUAGUCCUUUUCCCAAAAUGCUGUCCUUCAUGGAUUAGAAGAGAAAAAAAUAUACGUACAAAGACUAAAAAUAUCUCUGCAUCCCUUGUGCCUGCCUGACAAAAGGACAGCUCCAGCAGGUGCACCUACGCAGCAGGCACGGGUCUUGCAGAGAAGACACUUACUUCUCUGUGCUUGCAGUGUUCAUCCUUACACAGUAAGAGACAGCUAAAAAUAGCUUGUACUACACAAGUCUCUUAAGACCAGUCAAGGAGGACUUACAAAACCAUCUCAGGUGCCUUUUUACACAUGCAGCUGUGUAUGCCUUGUUUUUCCUUGUUUAUACAAGUCAAGAACUGAUUUGAAGACAAUUUGUAGCUUGGUGUAAGAUACAAAAUAAAGCAUCAGAUCUCCCCCAAAGACAUGAUUUUUAACUCUGAUUCUAAGGUGGGAUCUGAUGUUUACUGCAAUGUGGAGAAUGAGACAAUAGAGAUUUUUUAGUUUGUCAAGUAAAGCUUUGCCAACUUUACUGCUAUCAUAUAGUCAAUAAACCAAGCCAUGUUACUCAAGC